rnacentral:rRNA from 1 species
UACGUAGGGUGCAAGCGUUGUCCGGAAUUACUGGGCGUAAAGCGUGCGCAGGCGGUUUUCCAAGACAGAUGGUGAAAUCCCCGGGCUCAACCUGGGAAUGGCAUUUGUGACUGGAAGGCUAGAGUGUGUCAGAGGGGGGUAGAAUUCCACGUGUAGCAGUGAAAUGCGUAGAGAUGUGGAGGAAUACCGAGUGGCGAAGGC